rnacentral:rRNA from 1 species
AAUGAACGUUGGCGGCGUGCCUAACACAUGCAAGUCGAGCGAGAAAGCCUUUCGGGGUGAGUAAAGCGGCGAACGGGCGAGUAGUAUAUAAGAAUCUACCUUUUAGGGAAGAAUACCUUUGAGAAAUCAAGGCUAAUACUGCAUAAGCUCCUUCGGGACGAAAGAUGGCCUCUUUGCUGUCGCUAAAAGAUGAGCUUAUAUUCUAUUAGUUAGUUGGUGGGGUAAUGGCCUACCAAGACUGUGAUGGAUAACCGGCCUGAGAGGGUGUACGGUCACAUUGGAACUGAGACACGGCCCAGACUCCUACGGGAGGCAGCAGUGGGGAAUUUUGGACAAUGGGCGCAAGCCUGAUCCAGCAAUGCCGCGCGCAGGAAGAAGGCCUUCGGGUUGUAAACUGCUUUUGUCAGGGAAGAAAUCUUCUGGGCUAAUACCCCGGGAGGAUGACGGUACCUGAAGAAUAAGCACAGGCUAACUUCGUGCCAGCAGCCGCCGUAA